rnacentral:rRNA from 1 species
AGUAAUACAUAAGUAACCUGCCCUAGACAGGGGGAUAACUAUUGGAAACGAUGGCUAAGACCGCAUAGGUACGGACACUGCAUGGUGACCGUAUUAAAAGUGCCUCAAAGCACUGGUAGAGGAUGGACUUAUGGCGCAUUAGCUGGUUGGCGGGGUAACGGCCCACCAAGGCGACGAUGCGUAGCCGACCUGAGAGGGUGACCGGCCACACUGGGACUGAGACACGGCCCAG